rnacentral:rRNA from 1 species
CCUACGGGUGACAGCAGUGGGGAAUAUUGCGCAAUGGGCGCAAGCCUGACCCAGCAACGCCGCGUGAAUGAAGAAGGCUUUCGGGUUGUAAACUUCUUUUGUCAGGGAAGAGCAGAAGAAGGUACCUGUCGAAUAAGCUACGGCUAACUACGUGCCAGCAGCCGCGGUAAUACGUAGGUGGCAAGCGUUGUCCGGAUUUACUGGGUGUAAAGGGCGUGUAGCCGGGCAGAUAAGUCAGAUGUGAAAUCCGGGGGCUCAACCCCCGAACUGCAUUUGAUACUGUUUGUCUUGAGUAUCGGAGAGGCAGGCGGAAUUCCUAGUGUAGCGGUGAAAUGCGUAGAUAUUAGGAGGAACACCAGUGGCGAAGGCGGCCUGCUGGACCACAACUGACGGUGAGGCGCGAAAGCGUGGGGAGCAAACAGGAUUAGAUACCCUUGUAGUC